rnacentral:rRNA from 1 species
UACGGGGGGGGUAAGCGUUGUUCGGAAUUACUGGGCGUAAAGGGCUCGUAGGCGGCCAACUAAGUCGGACGUGAAAUCCCUCAGCUUAACUGGGGAAGUGCGCGCGAAACUGGCGGACUUGAGUGCUGGAGAGGGUGGCGGAAUUCCCGGUGUAGAGGUGAAAUUCGUAGAUAUCGGGAGGAACACCAGAGGCGAAGGCGGCCACCUGGACAGACACUGACGCUGAGACGCGAAAGCGUGGGGAGCAAACAGG